rnacentral:lncRNA from 1 species
UAAAAUAUUCAAAGAUUGUCUACUAAACACUUUUGGGGUCUAUCUAGAAUGUAGCCUGGUCUUAAUCUAAAUGAUAUGUUACUCUCAGGGUAAGAUCUUCAUUGAUUGGCAGCUUUUAUGGUAAGAAGUCAUAGUGAACAAAUAAGAGGUAAAGCUCGUAUGAUAAUUAACUAUAAAGAUUAAAUGAUAACACCAGAACAAAUGCAUACAAACUACCAGAUAAAAGUGAAUUAAUU